UACACUUCCAGCCAGGCUUAGAGAAGAAUGAGCAAGAUGAUGAUGGUGAAGAUGACGAACAGAAGGAGAAGAAGUUAUAAGCUCACUGGUGGGUUUUUCAGGUCUCAAAAUGACAGGGAGCCAAAAGUGUCCUGUGAAAACAUCCUGCUUAAUUUAAGUUUGACAACAAGGAUAGGAUGGCUGGGUAUCCCCCACCUGUUCCAGAGAUUGAAGAUGAGACCACAAGAACACUGAUGAACCUGCCAAUGGUUGGCAGGAGGAAACACAUGAAGGAACUAAUUUUGGGGUACCGUAACCUUUGGGUGUUCUCAGUUUUGUCUAUUCUUGAUUAUAUACAUUUUCCCUACCAUGGAUAGGCAAUGGUCCUAUUUGUCUCAUUUUGUGUCCUAAGAGCUUGGCUUGGAUUCAGUGAGAGAAUUUUCUCUGAGUUUGCACCUGCCAGGGGGUACAGAUUAUUGGGCCUGCAUAGGCAGCCAACCAUAAGCUGAGGGCCCCAGAAAUCUAUAAUCAACUAAACAGAAAUGUUUAUAUCUUUUUCUAUACCUGAAAUCUUAUUGAGAUGCCAAAACAGGUGAUCAGUACCACUCCCCUUUCUUUACGAACUAAUCUUUUUACCUGAUUCAUAGCAGAUGCCCUCCUGACCAUUGCCAACUCUCAGGGGAUCUAUCUUUCCCCAUGGCCUUGCUAGCUCAGAGAGUUUCUGAGACAAUAAGGGUCUUUCUUUCUCUUUUCUCUUUUGGGGUGACUUUGGAUCACGGCAGUUGCAUC